UUUUGGGCAAUGGGCGAAAGCCUGACCCAGCAACGCCGCGUGAAGGAUGAAGUAUUUCGGUAUGUAAACUUCGAAAGAAUGGGAAGAAUCAAUGACGGUACCAUUUAUAAGGUCCGGCUAACUACGUGCCAGCAGCCGCGGUAAUACGUAGGGACCAAGCGUUGUUCGGAUUUACUGGGCGUAAAGGGCGCGUAGGCGGCAAUUCAAGUCAGCUGUGAAAUCUCUGGGCUUAACCCAGAACGGCCAGCUGAUACUGCUUUGCUAGAGUGCAGAAGGGGCAAUCGGAAUUCUCGGUGUAGCGGUGAAAUGCGUAGAUAUCGAGAGGAACACCUGAGGUGAAGACGGGUUGCUGGGCUGACACUGACGCUGAGGCGCGAAAGCCAGGGGAGCAAACGG
rnacentral:rRNA from 1 species